GGAGUUAGCCGGUGCUUCUUCUGUGAGUGAUGUCCUUCCUGCCGGCUAUUAACCCGCAGGCCUUCUUCCUCACUGAAAGUGCUUUACAACCCGAAGGCCUUCUUCACACACGCGGCAUGGCUGGAUCAGGGUUGCCCCCAUUGUCCAAUAUUCCCCACUGCUGCCUCCCGUAGGAGUCUGGGCCGUGUCUCAGUCCCAGUGUGGCUGAUCAUCCUCUCAGACCAGCUACGGAUCGUCGCCUUGGUGAGCCGUUACCUCACCAACCAGCUAAUCCGACAUAGGCUCAUCCGAUAGCGCGAGGCCCGAAGGUCCCCCGNUUUCCCCCGUAGGGCCGUAUGCGGUAUUAGCCUGGGUUUCCCCAGGUUAUCCCCCGACUACCGGGCAGAUUCCUAUGCAUUACUCACCCGUCCGCCGCUCGCCACCAGGAGCAAGCUCCCGUGCUGCCGCUCGACUUGCAUGUGUUAGGCCUGCCGCCAGCGUUCAAUCUGAACCAGAUCAAUUCUGA
rnacentral:rRNA from 1 species